GUUUGGUCCUAGCCUUACUCUCAACUGUUACUCAACUUACACAUGCAAGUAUCCGCACACCCGUGAAAACGCCCUUACCCCUCCAUACAGGAAAAGGAGCCGGUAUCAGGCACAAAUAUUUUGCCCAUAACACCUAGCCAUGCCACACCCCCAAGGGUAUUCAGCAGUGAUUAACAUUGUUUAUUAGCGCCAGCUUGACUUAGUUAAAGUAAACAGAGCCGGCCAAUUCGGUGCCAGCCGCCGCGGCUACCCCGCUUGACUCAAAUUGAUGUUGUCGGCGUUAAGCGUGAUUAAAGUAACACAUAUAUUAGAAUUAAACUCCUGCCAAGCUGUAAUACGCUCGCCUAUAAGAAACCCCAAAACGAAAGUUAUUCUAACACAUACUUGAACCCACGACAGUCGGGGAACAAACUGGGAUCAGAUACCCCACUAUGCCCAACCGUAAAAUAUCAACCCACACCCAACAACCGCCCGGGAAUUACGAGCCCACCUUAAAACCCAAAGGACUUGACGGUGUCCCACCCACCUAGAGGAGCCUGUUCUAUAAUCGACACCCCCCGAUACACCUAACCACCCCUAGCAUACUCAGUCUGUAUACCUCCGUCGCAAGCUUACCAUGUGAACGCCACAAGUGAGCCCAAAGAUUCACCAUCAAUACGUCAGGUCAAGGUGCAACUAACGGGCUGGAAAGUAAUGGGCUACAAUUUCUAUAAUAGAACACACGAAAAACUACAUGUAACACAAGUCAUGAAGGCGGAUUUAGUAGUAAAAAGAAAAUAGAGCGUUCUUUUUAACCAGGCCCUGGGACGCGUACACACCGCCCGUCACCCUCUUCAAACCCCCACCAAGAAGAGGUAAGUCGUAACAUGGUAAGUGUACUGGAAAGUGCACUUGGACACAAAAUGUAGCUUACCUAAAGUAUUUCGCUUACACCGAAAUGGACGUCAAUUAACUAGACCAUUUUGAGCCAUAACACAAGCCCCUUACUUCCACUACAAGAAUGAACAAACAAUAAAACAUUUCCUCUAUUUAGUAAUGGCGAUUAAAAAAUAAGUAAGAGCUAUAUAAACAGUACCGCAAGGGAAACAUGAAAUAAAAAUGAAAAUCAAAGCACAACACAGCAAAGAUUAAACCCCGUACCUUUUGCAUCAUGGUCUAGCCAGUCUAACCAAGCGAAACGCACUUAAAGUUUGACCCCCCGAAACUGCGCGAGCUACUUUUGAGCAGCCACAGAACCAACCCGUCCCUGUUACAAGAGGGUGGGAAGACUCCAAAGUAGAGGUGACACACCUAUCGAGCCCAGAAAUAGCUGGUUAUUCAGAAAAAGGAUCUAAGUCCCUCUUUAAGCCCCCCCCGUAACUCAACACACCCCACCCCAACUUAAAAGUCACUCAAAUAAGGUACAGCCUAUUUGAAUCAGGAAACAGCCUAAAAUACAGGGUAACGAUUAUCUACGUGGCCAAGUAGGCCUACUAGCAGCCAACUUCAGAAAGCGUCCAAGCUCCUCCACAACCCUUAAUUAAUUCCACUAUUGAUACCCAACCCUCACCUACCACUGAAUGAUCCCAUACCCGUAUGGGAGACAUAAUGCUAGAACUAGUAACAAGAAGAAGAACUUCUCCAAAAUGCAAGCAUACACCAAAAUGAACUAAUCAUUGGCACCUACCGCCUUACCUGCAGUAUUACCCCCCCAUGAAAACCCUACUGCCCCCAACGUUAAUCUCACACAAGUGCAUUACCGGAAAGAUUAAAAAAGAGGGAAGGAACUCGGCAAAUACCAGCCCCGCCUGUUUACCAAAAACAUCGCCUCUAGACAAACUAUAAGAGGUCCAGCCUGCCCGGUGACUAUUAGUUAAACGGCCGCGGUACCCUAACCGUGCAAAGGUAGCACAAUCACUUGUUCUUUAAAUCAGGACUAGUAUGAACGGCCACACGAGGGCCAUACUGUCUCCCCCCUUUAAUCAGUGAAACUGAUCCCCCCGUGAAGAAGCGGGGAUAAUCCUAUAAGACGAGAAGACCCCAUGGAACUUUAAACUUGUACCACUGCCCCUCACUCACCACAUCAACCAAGGCAAUCAUGACUACUAGUCUUUCGGCUGGGGCGACCACGGAGAAAAAUCUAUCCUCCACGAUGAAAGGAACCUCCCCUAAUCCAAGAGCCACUGCUCUAAGAAUCAUUAAAUUGACAAUAAUUGACCCAUACAUUUGAUCAACGAACCAAGCUACCCUGGGGAUAACAGCGCAAUCCAUUUCAAGAGACCCCAUCGACAAAUGGGCUUACGACCUCGAUGUUGGAUCAGGGCAUCCUGGUGGUGCAGCCGCU
rnacentral:ncRNA from 1 species